CCAUAAUAUCAGAGUAAUGGUCUAAUGGAGGUCAGUCGCAGGAUCGCCAGCUGAGAGAAGACACCUACGACGAGGGAUGGUCACGGGGAAUCGAACCUCCUUCCUCUCGGGUUGCCUGUUUAUACCACGUGCCCUGGCGCCGGUGAUGAGCCUUACUGUGAGAAUGCGGAGUGGAAGUUCUGGAAAUGAAUGGACUGGCACAUCACUGGAGUUUCGAGAGGACAAGCAGGAGCAGGGUAGUGCCGCCCCCAUGACAAGCUAAGCAAGCCCACGGGGAGCAGAAGGAAGAAGCGAAAUGUGCUGUACCAGUCCAGCAUUUAUUUGGUUGAUGGCUGAGAAGCUACAUGAAGACCAUUUGCUCCUUGGAGACGGCAGGCAGCCACAAGUGGAAGGCAAG